CGCUGGCCCCCGGCCUAUAGAGUGAGAUGGGCGCACAACCCUAGAGUCUGGUUGCUGGAGUCCAGAUCCUACCAGCCAGCAUGACCACGGUGAACAGUGAUGGGAGUUGAUGUCAAGCUACAUCUGAAGGCCCACAGAUGCUCCAUCCUUGUUUACCCCAUUGAAUGCAUGAAUGCAGAACUGGGUACAAGUAUGGCUCCAGGUCCAGCAAAAGAGUUGGUCAUCCUUAACUCACUGCAGGGCAAUUCCCAGUUCCAGCUGUGAUGCUUGCUUUGUAAAAGUGCCUCUCUAUUGAAUCUUUGUGAAAGGUAAGGAAACUAUUAAAUUG